rnacentral:rRNA from 1 species
GCUGAGUAACACGUAGGAACAUACCCCAAAGUGAGGGAUAAGCACUGGUAACAGUGUCUAAUACCGCAUGUGAUCUAAGGAUUAAAGCUCCGGCGCUUUGGGAAUGGCCUGCGUAAGAUUAGCUAGAUGGUGAGGUAAUGGCUCACCAUGGCGACGAUCUUUAGCUGGUCUGAGAGGAUGACCAGCCAGACUGGGACUGAGACACGGCCCAGACUCCUACGGGAGGCAGCAGUGGGGAAUAUUGGACAAUGGGCGAAAGCCUGAUCCAGCCAUGCCGCGUGAGUGAAGAAGGCCUUAGGUUGUAAAGCUCUUUCAGCGGGGAAGAUAAUGACGGUACCCGCAGAAGAAGCCCCGGCUAACUUCGUGCCAGCAGCC